GUGUUAUCCUGCAUAUGCCAAUCUCAUACUACGUUCUAAUUUAGCCAAUACAUGCCAAAGCAUUUCAGUCUCACUUGUUUUAGUUUUGCAUAAAGCAGGCAACUAACACAAUAUUGGCCACCGUCUCUCUCGCUGUAGUAGUCUCGCUUAUCGUCUUCUCUUUUUUCGACAGCUGUCCAUAGCCACAACAACACAAAGAAAACUAUCCUUGAGCUUAUGUGAAUAUAAGCGAAUACUGAAUCUGUUCUACAGUAUAACCUCAGCUGACCUGGGAAGCAACAACAACUCCCAUUUCCAAAAGAAAGAUGACAGGAAACUGAAGCCACUAAUGGUUAGAUAAAUACCUGCAAAUGAUUAAUUGUUCAAGACUACUUUGAGAACAAUCACUCUGAGCAAUUAACAAUAAUAAAAGUCACCAACUUAAUUCUCUAGAAGAAGAACAAACCCGUGCAUACACAUAUCAAUGAGCAAAGAAUGUUCAGCCAUGGCGUAGAUACACGCAGAAAGAAACAAAACCAAGAUAAGAAUAUGAAGGUAAAGAGACCGCAAUGUCACCGUUUGUCACAUGUGUCCUACGAACAAACAAACAGAACUACAGUGGCUAGCACCCUGUAAAAAGAAAAUUCGCAUCAAACCUAGAUGUAAGCACAUGUGACACACACGCACACAAGAAGACAUGAGGAUUAAGGAAUGGAAAAACCACCAGUUGUAAACCCAGGCAUCAACUUGCAGCACGAUCAACACCUGCAAAUAACAAACCGGAGCACCGGAGCAGGCGUCUUAGACAAAUCAUAAAGAAAAGAAAAAAUGAAAAAAAGAAUCAGGGGAAUAAGCAGAGCAACAUGGGACAAAAAGGGGCCACGUACAAAUCGGACGGUCGAAGAGAAUACUGCUUACUUUUCCUGAAACAUCGUUUUUAGGGAACCUCUGUUAGGCAAGCUGCAACCCCUCAAACCACACAUAACUCACCGUCAGAGAACUUAACUUUUAAUCUUCCUGUAAAGGGGAAAACUUACUAUGUCAGUCUCAUACAUAUAGUGACAACAUGUGAACCCCGACAAAAAAUUGCUGUGACAACAUGUAUGCAUUAUUCUCCAAAUGUACAGAUAGGAAAAGGCGGAGUUCAACAGUGCCUUAAUAGCAUUCAUGGACAUCACAGUUCAUUGGUCAGUGCAAAAACUGUACAGAGAACAAAAAGGAACAAAACAAAGCCAGGUUUUUACACCUAAAUGGAAUUGUCAAAUGCAGAAAUAACAUGUGUGCAUUUUUCUCCAAAUGUACAGAAAGGAAAAAGGCAGAAGGAAUGGACAUUACGCAUUGCAGUGACACACUACCAAAGCUCAUGGCAUGAGCUGAGACAAUCUAGCAGAGCUCAUUCACAACUAUGUUGGUUUGCACACGUCCAAGAUUAGGCAUACUGCAAAUCCAUCAGUGAGAGCCUGCAACAGAGCGAUGAAUCAAACAACACUGCAAGUGAGAUAUAUGUUUUCCUUGGAUUUCCAUGUGUAGCAACUACAUCAUUUAAAAAUGUUUAUCAUGAAUUCAAGAUCUGUAGGACAUGAAACGCAGCAGGAUCAGCUCAUAGACCUUUCAUCGAACAGGAGGCGAGCAAGGUAACUAAUAAAGAUCUCACCUUGCCGGAGCCCAUGGGUAGGAACCUCGCUUGCCCUUCAUCACCGAGCCCAAUUCCGGGCAUGACGAUCUUCACCUUGCCGUUGCCCCUGUACCGGGGCGGGA
rnacentral:lncRNA from 1 species